AAAAAGAUAAGCUAAUUAUUUAAGCUAAUGGGUUCAUACCCCAUUUAUAGAAGUAAAUUCUUCUUCUUUUUA
rnacentral:tRNA from 1 species